CCUACGGGUGGCAGCAGUGAGGAAUAUUGGUCAAUGGACGAAAGUCUGAACCAGCCAAGUAGCGUGAAUGAUGACUUCUCUAUGUGUUGUAAACUUCUUUUAUAUGGGAAUAAAACGUUCCACUUGUGGGAUUUUGUAUGUACCAUAUGAAUAAGGAUCGGCUAACUCCGUGCCAGCAGCCGCGGUAAUACGGAGGAUCCGAGCGUUAUCCGGAUUUAUUGGGUGUAAAGGGAGCGUAGGUGGAUUGUUAAGUCAGUUGUGAAAGUUUGCGGCUCAACCGUAAAAUUGCAGUUGAAACUGGCAGUCUUGAGUACAGUAGAGGUGAGCGGAAUUCGUAGUGUAGCGGUGAAAUGCUUAGAUAUCACGAAGAACGCCGAUUGCGAAGGCAGUUCACUGGACUGCAACUGACACUGAGGCUCGAAAGUGUGGGUAUCAAACAGGAUGAGAUACCCGUGUAGUC
rnacentral:rRNA from 1 species